GUCACGAUGUAAAACCACGGCAAAGUUAGCCUGUUUUUAUUGUAAAGUUAAACUACUUGGUCUGCCCAUAUUAUUUGGUCUGCACAGUGUUCUUACGGCAACAUCUUACGGCAACAUGUAAAGCGACUUCCAAGUUAAUCAGCUAAAUCGGCGUCAUCUAUCAAGUUAACGGCUUAUUCGAUAUUCGAGAGUAAGAUUGUAAGCCUGUAAACUUUCUUCAAGGAACGAUGACAAUAAAGGAAGCAUGAUUAAAGUGCCCGUAUACAA